AGUGAACGCUGGCGGUAGGCCUAACACAUGCAAGUCGAACGGCAGCACAGUAAGAGCUUGCUCUUACGGGUGGCGAGUGGCGGACGGGUGAGGAAUACAUCGGAAUCUACUUUUUCGUGGGGGAUAACGUAGGGAAACUUACGCUAAUACCGCAUACGACCUACGGGUGAAAGCAGGGGAUCUUCGGACCUUGCGCGAUUGAAUGAGCCGAUGUCGGAUUAGCUAGUUGGCGGGGUAAAGGCACACCAAGGCGACGAUCCGUAGCUGGUCUGAGAGGGUGCACCCACACACUGGAACUGACACACGGCCCAGACCCACACGGGAGGCAGGAGUGGGGUAUAGUGGACUAUGGGCGAAAGCCUGAUACAGCCAUACCGCGUGGGUGAAGAAGGCCUUCGGGUUGUAGCCCUUUUGUUGGGAAAGAAAAGCAGCAGGUUAAUACCCCGCUGUUCUGACGGUACCCAAAGAAUAAGCACCGGCUAACUUCGUG
rnacentral:rRNA from 1 species